rnacentral:rRNA from 1 species
GCAAAUCUCAAAAACCGGUCCCAGUUCGGAUUGUAGGCUGCAACUCGCCUACAUGAAGUCGGAGUUGCUAGUAAUCGCGGAUCAGAAUGCCGCGGUGAAUGCGCUCCCGGGUCUUGUACACACCGCCCGUCACACCAUGGGAAGUUGGGGGCGCCCGAAGUUGCCUAAGAAAAUAAGGUACCUAAGGCGAAACCAAUGACUGGGGUGAAGUCGUAACAAGGUAUC